UACAGAGGGUGCGAGCGUUAAUCGGAAUUACUGGGCGUAAAGCGUGCGUAGACGGUUAUUUAAGUCGGGUGUGAAAGCCCCGGGCUCAACCUGGGAAUUGCAUUCGAGACUGAAUAGCUAGGGUACGGUAGAGGGAAGUGGAAUUUCCGGUGUAGCGGUGAAAUGCGUAGAUAUCGGAAGGAACAUCGGUGGCGAAGGCGGGUUGCUGGGCUGACACUGACGCUGAGGCGCGAAAGCUAGGGGAGCGAACGGG
rnacentral:rRNA from 1 species